rnacentral:rRNA from 1 species
GAUGAACGCUGGCGGCGUGCCUAAUACAUGCAAGUCAAGCGAACGGACGAGAAGCUUGCUUUUCUGAUGUUAGCGGCGGACGGGUGAGUAACACGUGGAUAACCUACCUAUAAGACUGGGAUAACUUCGGGAAACCGGAGCUAAUACCGGAUAAUAUUUUGAACCGCAUGGUUCAAAAGUGAAAGACGGUCUUGCUGUCACUUAUAGGUGGAUCCGCGCUGCAUUAGCUAGUUGGUAAGGUAACGGCUUACCAAGGCAACGAUGCAUAGCCGACCUGAGAGGGUGAUCGGCCACACUGGAACUGAGACACGGUCCAGACUCCUACGGGAGGCAGCAGUAGGGAAUCUUCCGCAAUGGGCGAAAGCCUGACGGAGCAACGCCGCGUGAGUGAUGAAGGUCUUCGGAUCGUAAAACUCUGUUAUUAGGGAAGAACAUAUGUGUAAGUAACUGUGCACAUCUUGACGGUACCUAAUCAGAAAGCCACGGCUAACUACGUG